GUCCCUCCCUCACCCAGCAUCCUUCUCCCCUCUCGUCCCUUCCUGCAGCAGCAGCAGCCCAAGGAGGUGCCCUCGAAUUUUGGAAUGACUGCCUAUCCAGACGGUGACAGGCAGUGACCCUGGAAGCCUGGCACUCUAGGGUGCUGGGGUCCUGGUGGAAUACAGAGAAGGACCAAGGCAGUGAGGGAGACCCAUUCCUGGACUUGCUUCCAAGUGGGCACAGAGUGAGGAUGGACAGUGCAGGCCUGGAAAAGAGCCCUGGACCUCUCUUCCCUCCCCAUCUAGAACCUGCACAUGCUGCU
rnacentral:lncRNA from 1 species